GCCAGAAUUUUUUAAUCAGUUUAUUUAAUGCUGCGAAUUUUUUAAAACAAAUUAAUGUAAAAAUAAAACUUUUAAGAUGGUAGUUUGUUUGUUGUUAAUAAACGUUUAUGUACAAUGUGGAACUACUUUAGGCAUUAGAAAAGCUUAAAUAAUAGAAGUCUGGAGCUUCUACCACACAGCUCCAAUGUGGGUUGGCGGUUAACCAUGUGGCAGAUUUUCAUACGAAACAUGAAAGCUUAUAAACACAAAGCACAUGAAAAUUCAGCCCAUAUAUUUGGUAUUGAUUUACGUGUUCUAAAUAGUAGACCAUACAGCAAUCCAUCCAUACCAGCAAUCAGCGUACUUAAAAUAAAUGUAAAAAAUACUACGAUUAUUGACUUUCGUCUCAAGUUAAGUGAUAAGGGGAAAUAGAAAGAUUUAUGAUUUUAGAAUUUACUAGCAACGAAACAACGUGCUGGAAUAUAUUCCGAAGGCUUCUGUUUAAAAGCAGUCUACCAGCUCUUGGAUUAUUAUUGUAAGCAUUAUUCAAUAAUGGUGUAUAUGAUACAUCAUAUAUAUUUAGAAAUAUAUAUACCUGAAUAAUAA